UUACGGUCAUAUCAAAUUGAAACACCAGUUCCCGUACAAUCACCGGAGUUAAGCAACCUUGAGCCGGGUUAGUACCUAGAGGGGUAACUGCUUGGGAAUACCAACUGCUGUA